CAGCCGAGCCACGCCUCUUCCGGCGAGCGGCACUUCCUCCGCGUGCGGGUAAGCGUGUGAAGGUCCAACUGUUUUAAAUUCGGGUUCUGGCUGCCGUAGGGGCCGGAUGGCGGAGGGGGCGUUGUCCAGUGCGAGGUGGCAGUACUGUGGAGAGCCGGAUAAGAGCCAGAGAGCUGUGCUGGUCCAGUUCUCCAAUGGGAAGCUGCGUAAUCCAGGGAACAUGCGCUUUACCUUGUACAAGAACGAUGACUCCACCAACCCCAGGAAGAGGAGUCAGCGGAUCCUGGCAGCUGAAACAGACAGACUCUCCUAUGUAGGAAACAAUUUUGGAACUGGAGCCCUCAAAUGCAACACUCUGUGCAGGCACUUUGUGGGAAUUUUGAACAAGACCUCUGGCCAAAUGGAAGUAUACGAUGCUGAAUUGUUCAGCAUGCAGCCGCUGUUUUCAGAUGAAUCAGUUGAGAGUGAAUCAACACUAGAGAGUCAGACCAAAACUUUUAGAGAAAAGAUGGAUUCUUGCAUUGAAGUCUUUGGUACCACCAAACAGAAGCGUGCUCUGAACUCUAGGAGAAUGAACAGAGUUGGCAGUGAAUCUUUGAAUUGUGUGAUAGCUAAAGCUGCAGAGAAUAUUAUUGAUGCAAAGGGUGUGACUGCUCUGGUCAGUGAUGCCAUCCAUGAUGACUUGCAAGAUGACUCCCUCUGCCUGCCUCCCUGCCAUGCCGACGCAGUCAAGCCUGAAGAUGUGUAUAAACUUGAAGAUAUUCUUUCCCCUGCGGAGUAUGAAGCUCUUCAGGGCCCAUGUGAAGCUUUCAGGAAUGUUUCAUCGGAAGAACUGCUGAGGAUGACUGAGGAGAACAGCCACUGCUCCUUUGUCAUAGAAGCGUUGAAGUCUUUGCCAUCAGGUAAGGAGAGCCGAGACCACCAGGCCCGAUGCAUAUGGUUUCUGGACACCCUCAUCAAAUUCCGAGCACAGAAAGUGAUUAAGCGGAAAAGUGCCCUGGGGCCUGGAAUCCCACAUGUCAUCAACAUGAAACUGCUGAAGCAUUUUACUUGCUUGGCCUACAACAAUGGAAGUUUACGGAACUUAAUUUCGGAUUCUAUGAAGGCGAAGAUUGCUGCGUAUGUGAUAAUACUUGCCUUGCACAUAAACGACUUCCAGAUCGACCUGACGAUGUUACAGAGGGACCUGAAACUCAGUGAGAAAAGGAUGAUUGAGAUAGCAAAAGCCAUGAGGCUGAAGAUCUCUAAAAGAAAGGUGUCUCUAGCAGCCGCCGGGGAGGAGGAUCACAAAUUGGGCACUCUGUCCAUCCCACUGCCUCCAGCCCAGACCUCGGACCGUCCAUCAAAGAGGAAGAAAAUCACCUAGAGGUACCUUGCGAGGGGAAUGGCCUGAUCAGAGCUAUAUUUUAAGAAGACCCAUACUAGAAAGCAGACCUUUGGCCAGCAGGCAGCAGUGCAGCAGCAGCAAGUAAACAGCAGACCUCCUGUGGACCCCAACCAAGCCAGGCCUAGGGGCGCCUCCCUCUGGCCUCUUCCCAGGCAGCUGGGCCUGCAGAGGGGAGCAUCUCAUCAGCCUCCUUCCCACCUCUCCUGUCUGCCACUUGGCCACAUACAGAUUUCCCAGCCAUUUCUCUUUAACCACUCUCAGCUUGAGGCAAUUCCACACCAAGUGACUAUUAUUUUACACCCCGAACUGAACUUUCAAUGGACUCAGACCAUCCUGUCUCAGCUCCUGCAUCUAUAAAGUGGGCAUAAUACCUUAGGGAGUUGUGAAGGUGAAAUGAGAAAAUUGAUGGAAAUCAUUGAACACUGUGCCUGACACACAGUAAAUACACGAUAAAUGGUGACGAAUUCCUUUUCUCCUAUGACUCCUUUCUCUAAAUUCUCUGUUUCUCUGUAUUGCAUUUGAACAAACCCUCCAAUAUCUUAGAAAAAACAGUUAUAGGCAAUAAGUCAGGGUUUUCUGUAGUGAGGUAGGGAACAAGGAGACCACGGAGGGAGCGGAGCUCGCUGCCUUGGUUCCGGGCCAUGCAGUGUGCGCAGAGGAGCCAACGAGGUUUGUAGCUGUGAACAUGUGAUGACAAAGAGUGAGUUUUCUUUGCAGAACAGCAUGAAUAAAACAGCACUUGCAGCAACAGAAUUUACCCAUGUAAGCACAGCCUCCAGGUUCUGAAUACCAGUUUCUGGUGAGUCUUUGAUAACAAGUGAAAACAAGGGAGGGCUUAUCAUAAGGGUAUAGCUUCGAUUAUUAAGGGUAUGGAAUUUUGUGGAAAUCCAAGUAUAGGCCCACAGUAGGGCUGGGUCUCCCAAAGUCUAGAAUGAAAUGUCUGGACCCACGGCAGUCCAAGGCGCUCAGUAGCUGAAGUCUGUGGGUGUUCACUUAUCACGGCUCAGCCACUGUCUACGGGUCUGCUCCAGUCUCUUCUUACUGGAGUCUAUACAAACUUUUCUCACUGCUUACCUCACUGCUUCUACUUCCUCGUAAUUUUGGCAAGCUAGGACUCCUCAAAGGCCUGACUCUAUUUCAUGGCUUCUAUGUACUGUUUCAGCUUCAGUUUCUGUAGCUUAGUGUCCUUCUGUAAUCCCCACUUCAAAUUUCUAAGAGGGAACGUGCAUUUUUCUACCCCACUAGGUCACAUCAUGAUCCUUGGUGAGCCUGUGAAUUGGCUCUUCUUGGGUCUGAAGUCCUCCUCUGGUCUGGCAGGUUUUGCCCAGGGAGUAGGGAUAAAGCAGGACUUUAUGGUAGAAAACAUGGCUAUCUGGGGCUGCCCCUACAUGAACAGGAGUUGCAGAUGUAGAAUUUUCUCUGAAAGAGCUGAGAAACAGCAAGUGCACAGCUGACGUGUUGAAUACAUCUCCACAUACUAGAGCGCCCACACUAGCUCUCCCUCACCUCUGCUGCUGUGGACCACCAGGAUGCCUUCAGCCAGCAGUGCCAAAGUAUCCAGUGGUCGGUGGGCGCAGGACCUGGGUGAGCCAACUCCUUCAAAGGAGCUUAGUGGCCUCAUGAACAGGUGGUGUCCUCCCCCUUCCGUGAACAGAUAAACUGAGCUGAUUCUAAUGGCAGCCUCUGAACUCUCUUCUUUCUUUGCCAUCACUUUUCCAGCCAUUGCUCACUCUAGGGGACCAUGGUAGCUAUGACUUACCCUCCCUCUUCUGGUUCCUCAGAGGGACUCUACUCCCACUCGAUUAAGUUCUAGAGGGCUCUUGUUCAGAGUGCCUCAUCCUCCAUCACACAGGACGAGUGCCAGACCCAAAGUAGACAGUCAGAACACCCAUCCCCCUUACCACAGAUGGGGAAACCGCAGAAGAGGUCAUCUGAGGAAUGAAGCCAAAUUAAGAUAAGCAAUGUUGAGCAACUGAGAUGGAAAGAGGGAACCCCAAAAAUAUUUUUUUGAGCCCCUAGGUCCAGCUAUGCAGUUUUCUAAGUCAACAGAUUUUCUUCUUAAAGUAAAGAGAGUCUAAGCUGAUCACUUGCAACCAAGAGUCCAGACUAAUACAUAGUUUUCUCAAGUAAAUUCUUCACUCUCUCACUUUUUUCCUCCUUCAUCACAUUGUGGGUCCUAAAUGACUCUAAUCAAAGUUGACAAUAACUAGCCUACCACUAAGUAAGAUGGGGAUGAAGUGGUGUAAGGUCCUUGUACUGUCCAAAAAGAAGAAUAGGGAUAUUUAUCACUCCCAUAACUUAUCAACUUUGGUUAAAUUAAAAUUUUAUGGGUAACCGUGAAAGAAGAACAAGUACAUAAUGUCCAAACUAGUAGAAGGAAAAAAUGCAAGUGAUUAAAAAUAAAGGGAAAGAAGGGAAGAAAGCUAAAAUGAAGGGUGUACGUGCAGGACAAAUGCAUGGAAAGCAUAAAAUAUGAAGACAGAUUUACACCUAAAUAUAUCAGUGGUUAUAUUAAAUGAAUAUGGACUGAUUAAAAGACAAAGGCAGGCUAUAAAAAAAGCCAAUUAUGUGCUACUUGUAAGAUACAUAUCUAAAACAUAGUGAUACAGAAAGGAUGAUGCUAAAAGGAGGGAAAGAAGACAUACCUUGCAUAGAUUAACCAAAAAUGCAUGGUAUAGCCAUAUGGGUCUGCUAAAUGGAUAAAAUGGAGUUUAAUGUGAAAAAAGCAUUCUUUUACUAGAGAUGAACAGGGCAACUUCAUCACGGUAAGAUUAUUUCACCUGUAAGAUAUAACAACUUUAUAUUUGUAUGUACUUGAUAAUAGGGCUCAAAGGUAUAAGGUAAAAAAAUUAAAAGGUGAAAUAGACAAAUUCAUAAUCACAGUUGGAUAUUUUAACACAUUUCUCUUUAUAACAGCUAAAAUAGGUAAAAAAAACAGGAUAAAGAAGACUUGAAUAUAAUUAACAAACUUGAUCUAAUGGCAUUAGAUCAAACAUUGAGUCCUCUAACUGUAGAAUACACAUUACUUUCAAGUACACACAUAACAUUAACAGAAACUGACCAUAAACAGAGUCCUAACAGAAAUUUAAACAAAUUUCAAAGAACAAGCUUACUGACCACAAUCAAUUAAUAAAAGAUAACUAGAAAAUACUCAUAUGUUUGGAAAUUAAGAAACACAUCUCUAAGAAACCUAUGAGUCAAAGGGAAAUCACAAUGGAAAUCAGAAAGUACUUAGAAAUAAAUGACUGAAAUACUACCUAUUAAAACUUGUGAGCUCCUAUUAAACAGUGUUUGGAGAAAAAUGUAUAGCCUUACAUGGAAGGAAUAAAAAGGAUAAAAAUUAAUGAACCAAGCAAUCCAUUUCAAGAAGGGAAGAAAACAAAAUGUAUCUAAGGAAAGUAGAAUGAAAAAGAGCAAAACUUAAUGAAAUAGGAAACAACUUACUACAGAGAAUAUGAAUGAAGAUAAAAAUUUGUUCUUUGAAAAGAAUCUCUACUGAGACUGAAGAAGAAAAAACGGGAGAAAGCAUAAAAAUGUAAUCAGAAUAAAAAGGGAAGUAUCUCUACAGAUGCUGUAGACAUUAAAAGAAUAAUAAGAAAAUAUUAUAAGCAAUUUUAUAUAAAUUUUGAAACCUUAAAAGGGACAAAUUUGUAGAAAGUAUUACUAAAACUCAAAAAAUUUUAAUUGUCUUAGAACCAUUAAAAACAUUGAAUCUUUGGUCAAAAAUAACAUUAAAGAUAACAAACUUCCAGAAACAGGUGGCUUUAUCACUGAGUUCUCCCCAACAUUCAAGGGACAAUGGAGGGGAAACUAAAUGGGACAGUGGAGGAGGUGACGGGUGCGUGUUAAAGCUCUGGACUAACUGCAGUGGUAGGGACUGCAGUUUGUCCCACUAACCUUCCUUUUACAAGUUUUCCCAGAAAUUGUGACCAGCCGGAAUCCUGGAGAAGCUGUAUCUGGAUGGAGUGAACUUAACACAAAGAGGCAAUGUAUCUGAAUGGACUGCAGAGAAUAAUAUUGGUGCCAAACCCAGAUCUUUACUGGCCAGCACACCCACCCCCAGCUAGAAGUGCCAGCUGAUGACAACUCGCAGAUGUCCCUUCUCCAGACAAACUGCCACUCACCCAGGUAUAUACCUCUCUUCCCCUUCUCCCACUCUGCUUCCCUCAUUCUUUUCCUGAGCACUUCUCCCAGUAUGUCACCUGAAUAAGAAUCCCCAUUUCAGUCCCUGCUUCUACAGAAUAGGAUACACAAUAUCACCAUUUAAGAAGGUGAAAAGAGACUCACAGAGCAGAAUAUACUUUUAAAACAUGUAACUAACAGGGGACAACUUUAUAACCAAAAUGUAUAAAGAACUCCAUAAAUCAGUGAGAAAAAUCGAAAGAGGCAGAAGACUUGAAUAGGCAGUUCACCAAAAAAAAGGCCAUCCAAUUAACCAAUUAAAAAAAGUGCUCAAAAGUUGCAGGAUACAAAAUUAACACACACAAAUCUGUGGCUUUCCUAUACACUAACAAUGAACCAAUAGAAAGAGAAAUCAGGAAAACAAUUCCAUUUACAAUUGCGUCAAAAAGAAUAAAAUACCUAGGAAUAAACCUAACCAAAGAAGUGAAAGACCUAUACCCUGAAAACUAUAAGACAUUCUUUUAAGAGAAAUUAAAGAGGACACUAACAAAUGGAAACUCAUCCCAUGCUCUUGGCUAGGAAGAAUUAAUAUCGUCAAAAUGGCCAUCCUGCCCAAAGCAAUAUACAGAUUUGAUGCAAUCCCUAUCAAAUUAGCAACAGCAUUCUUCAAUGAACUGGAACAAAUGGUUCAAUUCAUAUGGAAACACCAAAGACCCCAAAUAGCCAAAGCAAUCCUGAGAAGGAAGAAUAAAGUCGGGGGGAUCUCGCUCCCCAACUUCAAGCUCACUACAAAGCCACAGUAAUCAAGACAAUUUUGGUACUGGCACAAGAACAGAGCCACAGACCAGUGAAACAGAAUAGAGACUCCAGACAUUAACCCAAACAUAUAUGGUCAAUUAAUAUAUGAUAAAGGAGCCAUGGACAUAAAAUGGGGAAAUGACAGUCUCUUCAACAGAUGGUGCUGGCAAAGCUGGACAGCUACAUGUAAGAGAAUGAAACUGGAUCACUGUCUAACCCCAUACACAAAAGUGGAUUCGAAAUGGAUCAAAGACCUGAAUGUAAGUCAUGAAACCAUAAAACUCUUAGAAAAAAACAUAGGCAAAAAUCUCUUAGACAUAAACUUGAGUGACUUCUUCAUGAACAUAUCUCCCCGGGCAAGGAAAACAAAAGCAAAAAUGAACAAGUGGGACUAUAUUAAGCUGAAAAGCUUCUGUACAGCAAAGGACACCAUCAAUAGAACAAACAGGUACCCUACAGUAUGGGAGGAUAUAUUCAUAAAUGACAGAUCCGAUAAAGGCUUGACAUCCAAAAUAUAUCUAACACACCUCAACAAACAAAAAGCAAAUAAUCCAUUUUAAAAAUGGCAGAGGAGCUGAGCAGACAGUUCUCCAAAGAAGAAAUUCAGAUGGCCAACAGACACAUGAAAAGAUGCUCCACAUCGCUAGUCAUCAGAGAAAUGCAAAUUAAACCACAGUGAGAUAUCACCACACACCAGUGGGGAUGACUACCAUCCAAAAGACAACAAGUGUUGGCGAGGUUGUGGAGAAGAGGGAACCCUCCUACACUGCUGGUGGGAAUGUAAAUUAGUUCAGCCAUUGUGGAAAACAGUAUGGAGGUUCCUCAAAAUGCUCAAAAUGGACAUACCAUUUGACCCAGGAAUUCCACUUCUAGGAAUUUACCCUAAGAAUACAGCAGCCCAGUUUGAAAAAGACAGAUGCACCCCUAUGUUUAUUGCAUCACUAUUUACAAUAGCCAAGAAAUGGAAGCAACCUAAGUGUCCAUCAGUAGAUGAAUGGAUAAAGAAGAUGUGGUACAUAUACACAAUGGAAUAUUAUUCAGUCAUAAGAAGAAAACAAAUCCUCCCAUUUGCAACAACAUGGAUGGAGCUAGAGGGUAUUAUGCUCAGUGAAAUAAGCCAGGCAGAGAAAGACAAAUACCAAAUGAUUUCACUCAUAUGUGGAGUAUAAGAACAAAGAGAAACUGAAGGAACAAAAUAGCAGCAGAAUCACAGAACCCAAGAAUGGACUAACAGUUACCAAAGGGAAAGGAACUGGAGAGAAUGGGAGGGAAGGGAGAGAUAAGGGCAGGGAAAAAGAAAGGGGGUAUUAUGAUUAGUAUGUAUAAUGGGGGGGGCAUGGGGAGGGCUGUGCAACACAGAGAAGACAAGUAGUGAUUCUACAACAUCUUAACUACGCUAAUGGACAGUGACUGUAAUAGGGUUUGUGGGGGGGACUUGGUGAAGGGGGGACCCUAGUAAACAUAAUGUUCUUCAUGUAAUUGUAGAUUAAUGAUAACAAAAUAAAAAAAUAAAAGUGCUCAAACAUUAGUUCUAACUAUAGAAAGAAAAUUAAAACCAUAAGAGAUAUCAUCAUUAUAUCCCAUAAGAAGAGUUAAAAAAUUUUAAACUGGCACUAUGAAGUAUUUGCAAGGAUGUGAAGCCACUGAAACUUUCAUAUAAUUUCAGUAGGAAAAUAGGUACAAUCACUUAGAAAACUGGCAUUAUCUAGCAAAGACAUCUCACUUUGACAUAUGAUAACCCAAAGCAACUUGUUCACAUACACAAUAAAAAAUGUCUAAGGAUGUUCUUGGGUACUGUUCUUGGUAGUCAGAAACUAUAUGUAAUACAAGUACCCAUCAACCAUAGGGUAAAUAUAUUGUGACAUGUUCAUAUUAUGAAACAGUGUUGGCAAAGGAAAUAAGUGUGGUUACCAAAGGGCUGCAACUCACAAACUGAGCAAAAGAAGCAAACACAAAAUGCACACAGUACACUGCUGUAGGAAUGCAGUUAAAAAAGCUAGUAAAAAUUAUAUUGUUUAGGGAUGCAAAUAUAGGAGAAAAAACUGUAAGAAGAGCAAAGAAAUGAUUAUCAUAAAAGCCAAGAUAGUGUUUCUUUCUGGGGAGCAGGUUUGGAAGAGGGAACUAUUGAGUAUUGGCAAUGUUCUGUUUCUUGACAUAAGUGGUGGUUCUGUAAGUAUUUCCCUUAGAAAUAUUACACUAUACAUUUGUGAUUUUUUCCUGUAUGCAUUCUUGUUAUAUUUCAUAUUUUUAAAAGUUUAAAGACAGUGAAAUAAA